GCCCGGUUGUAUGCGGACGUUUGGCGGCCGCAGCGGAACAACGUUACUUGGUAUUGCAGGCCAUUGCUCUUUGCCUCUGGUGGGGGGGACGCAAUCGUUGUAGGUUGCACGAUAAGUCGAGGUCUUAAGCCAGUCCUCGACAAAAUCAUACUGUCACGCCCCGGAUUACACGUUCCCCGGGCACGCCGACAAAUCCGCCGUAUACAAAGAAAUUUUCCCUGUAUACGAAGCGAUAGCUGUACCUGUAAAUCAAACACUACUACGAACAGUAGUAGAGAGCUGCUAGAGAAAACAGAAGCUAAAUAAAACAGAGUUUCAUAUACAUAGUUCAGAUCCAAAAUACAGAGCUACUCGCACUGGCGAGUUAAGUCAACUAUGUACAUAAACUCGAAACAAAACAUCUACCUGCAGUAGGGCACCUCUAGCUCAGCACGUCGGGUAGGGCUCUAACUCGCGACGCCCUUGCCUCGAUCCUGAUCCACGGACGGUGCAGCAGCCGGAACCUGUGGCUAUGCAAAAACAUAGGUAACAACUGGGCGUGAGAACUACUGUAAAAACAAAUAAUCCUCAGUGGGUACCGCCCAAAACAACAUCGGUCACCCACUAAGUCUACAGAAGGGAGCAAGGAUAGUAGGAAAAGCAGGAAGUACACUCUACCGCUAUCAAUCACUACACUAUCAUGCUCUACACUAACCAACUGUAGGAAAAGUCAAGUCUGACCCAAUCCAAAUCGGGACUGUAAGCAUACCCGUCCCCGGGACUGUGAAUACACCCGUCCCUGCCCCGUUACGACUAUCGGGCUCUAUCCACUCUAACUGGUCCGUGGAGAGCAAGUCCAACUGGCAUGAGCGACACCAACGCAAAAGCACAAGCCUGACUCCGGAGUGGCACUCGUGGGCGCUACCCAACCGAGUAUGCAGCGUAUAUCUGUCGAGCUCAAUCAGGCUCCAACUAGCCAAAGUCAAGUAAUCGACUCAAACUGGUCUAACAACCAAUCAGGUAACGUGCCCUCGGCACAAUCUGACGCCAAAAAGGUGAUACGGGUCCACCGUCGACUCUGACGGCACCCAACUGUCCGAAACGACCUGAACGACCCUGUAAAAAUCCACUCGGCGAACCAGCACGAGUGUAAAUACAUUCUAAACUACCUGGAGUACUCGUCUCGAAGAAACUGUGACAGUACAAUUUUCUAACGGCUCCUAGAGCUAAAUCAGGUAGUUAAAACUGGUGACAGGUCCAAAUCGCAGGUUUUCUCCUAAUUCAAUUUCCAAGUCCAACAUGUAUAAUCUACUUAAUUUAUAAAUCAUGCUCAAAAAUCCAGAUUUCACAAUCUACAUAUAGUCCAUGAAUUUGAGCUAACACAAUUUACCGAAACCACGAUUUAUACAUGUCGACUAAUAACACUUAGGAGUAAAAACUGAUGUAACCCACCUCGAAAGCUAUCCCCUGGCAGCGAACGAAGCCUCGAACCAGGACAACCUCUGCUGGAUCAACUAGGGACCUCCAAGUCCGGUGGACGAGCUAACGCCAAGCUAAACAAUUAAGGAUCCUCAAUUCAGUCCAGAAAUUCACAAUAGCUGAGUAGAAACGGGAUUCGACCGAGCUAACCUUCACCAAAUCUGGCAAAUGAGGGCUUCGUGGAUUCCUCUCGAAGUCCCGAAUCCAACGAACUAAGCCUCGUCGUGAUCCGACGUUCCUACGCGGAGAACGAGCUGAAAUACGAACAGUCGACGGCGAAUUUCAGCAAAACAGCUACUAACCGAGUAGAAAUAGUAACACUUGCCCAAAAUCCAGAAAAGACGCCGAAUCACCCACCUCGACAGCGUCGAACCUCGGCGCGACGUCAAGAACAGUGAAGACGCUCCCUCGCCCGGCCUCCUCGCAAAGCUCCGGCAGCAAGUGCGCUCGAACGGCUCGCGGCGCGACGUCGACGACGAAAUCCCCAACCGGACUCUCCACCAACACCUAGAGAGAGAGAGGAGAAGAAGA
rnacentral:lncRNA from 1 species